rnacentral:pre_miRNA from 1 species
GGCCUCCCUCUGUGGGGUGAUCAAUCAUGGAGCCCCCAGGUUGAUCACUGUGCAGAGGGAGGCC